AUUGAACGUUGGCGGCACGCCUUAUACAUGCAAGUCGAACGAGAAAGCACUUCGGUGUGAGUACAGUGGCGGACGGGUGAGUAACGCGUAGGAAUCUACCUAGUAGUGGGGGAUAACUCGGGGAAACUCGAGCUAAUACCGCAUACGCUCUUAGGAGGAAAGUGGGGGAUCUUCGGACCUCACGCUAUUAGAGGAGCCUGCGUUAGAUUAGCUAGUUGGUGAGGUAAAGGCUCACCAAGGCGACGAUCUAUAGCUGGUCUGAGAGGACGAUCAGCCACACUGGAACUGAGACACGGUCCAGACUUCUACGGAAGGCAGCAGUAGGGAAUCUUGGUCAAUGGGCGCAAGCCUGAACCAGCGAUGCCGCGUGUGCGAAGAAGGCCCUAGGGUUGUAAAGCACUUUCAGUCGCGAAGAAAAGUUGUGGAUUAAUAAUCCGCAGCCUUGACGUUAUCGACAGAAGAAGUACCGGCUAACUCCG
rnacentral:rRNA from 1 species